CCUUACUGCUAUCGGGGUGGGACUAAGACAUGCGAGUCGAGCGUCUCUAGCUAUGUUGAGACGCGGCAGACUGCUCAGUAACACGUGGCUAACCUACCCUCAGGACGAGGAUAAACCCGGGAAACUGGGGCUAAUACUCGAUAGGUGAGAAUGUCUGGAAUGAUUUCUCACUCAAAGGGCCUUGGGAACAUGCUUCCAAUGUCGCCUGGGGAUGGGGCCGCGUCCGAUCAGGUUGUUGGUGAGGUAAUGGCUCACCAAGCCUAUAACCGGUACGGGCCGUGAGAGCGGUAGCCCGGAGACGGGUACUGAGACAAGGACCCAGGCCCUACGGGGCGCAGCAGUCGCGAAAACUCCGCAAUGCACGAAAGUGUGACGGGGCUACCCCGAGUGCCAUCCGCUGAGGGUGGCUUUUCUUUGGUAUAACUAGCCGAGGGAAUAAGGAGAGGGCAAGACUGGUGUCAGCCGCCGCGGUAAUACCAGCUCUCCGAGUGGUAGGGAUGAUAUUGGGCUUAAAGCGUCCGUAGCCGGCUUAGCAAGUCUCCUGUUAAAUUCAGCGGCCUAAUCGUUGAGCCGCGGGAGAUACUACUAGGCUAGGAGGCGGGAGAGGUCGACGGUACUUCUGGGGUAGGGGUGAAAUCCUAUAAUCCCGGGAGGACCACCAGUGGCGAAGGCUGUCGACUAGAACGCGCUCGACGGUGAGGGACGAAAGCUGGGGAGCGAACCGGAUUAGAUACCCGGGUAGUCCCAGCCGUAAACGAUGCGGGCUAGGUGUUGGAAUGGCUACGUGCCAUUUCAGUGCCGCAGGGAAACGGUUAAGUGUGCCGCCUGGGAAGUACGGUCGCAAGGCUAAAACUUAAAGAAAUUGGCGGGGGAGCACCACAAGGGGUGGAACCUGCGGUUCA
rnacentral:rRNA from 1 species